AAGAAGGUAGGAAUAUAAUGGCUGUAGUAAAUUAUAUAUGAUAUUGAUUAUGAUAAUAUAACUCAUACAUUCAUUUCUCUCGUUUACCUCUCUCCUCUAUUAUAUCUUGUUAUUCCUCUACCUUGUAUUGAUUUCUGACGUUGAGAAAAUACAAUUGUUCGAAGUUAUUCUAUGUGGUGUGUGUAUUACAGUAUGGAACGCAGUUUUAUUAGAUGGGCCAUUUCC
rnacentral:rRNA from 14 species